CAUAUAGUUGCAAAUAAUCAUGUUAUUACAAUUCAAAUUUGGCUUGCUGAUUUAUUACUAUAAAUAAGAGUACUCGAAGAAACACAUAAUUGCAAACAAAAAUAUAGAAUCAUCUCCAACAUGAAGAAGGCCUUUCUCCUGAUUUGCAUUCUUUUGGCUACCAUUUCCUUUUCCCCUUCUCUCACUUCAGCUAGGGAAUUAGCUGCUAUUGGGAAAGAUGCAAGAAUACCAAUUCCAAAAUGGUGGCCAAUCAAAGGUAAGCCCAAAAACCUACCAUUUGGAUGCAGCCGUGGGAA